AUGGAAUGUCUCAUGGAAUCGGUCACGGUCGCUUGCUCCAAUGCCAAUUAUGGAUGCGCCCAGAAGCUAACUUACUACCAGAAAGAAGAGCAUGAGAAGGCAUGCCCGAGCGCCCCAUGUUUCUGUGCGGCGUCCAGCUGCAGCUUUGCAGGGCCAACAGACGCCAUCCUUGAACAUUGUGCCUCCCAGCACAAGUGGCCGUGUACAACCAUCAAGUACUCCGAAGAUGUUGAGCUCUGCCUCGAACCAGGUCUACAUUUUCUUUGUACCAAAGACAGGGAAAUUUUCCUGCUCAACGUGGCACUAGAGCCAUGCGGGCAUGCCAUCUCUGUUGUCUGCAUCCAACCUAAAGCUAUAAACUCCAAGUUCAAGUGUAGGAUGUCCUAUGGUUCCUUUUUGAACGACUAUUAUCAGAGAUCAGUUUACAAAAUACGAAGCUCAUCCUUGUCUGAUGGGCUACCAAAGGGAUACAACUUAAUUCUGCCCAAGGAUGAGAUAACUGAUGAUGGAAAGGGUACCUUGCUUACGUUCUCCAUUGAUGAUCCUAAUCCUAAAGUAAAGGUGUGUGAGCCCAUAUGUCUGAAACCAGUACGCGAUGUAUGA
rnacentral:rRNA from 1 species